AGAAUCAACGCUGGCGGCGUGCCUAACACAUGCAAGUCGAGCGCGAAAGGGAGCAAUCCCCAAGUAGAGCGGCGAACGGGUGAGUAACGCGUGGGUAAUCUACCUCCGAGUGGGGAAUAACAGCGGGAAACUGCUGCUAAUACCGCAUGACAUCGUCGAGCCUUCGGGUUUGACGAUCAAAGCCGGGACCGCAAGGCCUGGCGCUUGGAGAGGAGCCCGCGUCCGAUUAGCUAGUUGGCGGGUAAUGGCCCACCGAAGGCUCCGAUCGGUAGCC
rnacentral:rRNA from 1 species